rnacentral:lncRNA from 10 species
UGUGUCAUGCAGCUGCUAUGGGGGGAUGGAGGAGGAGUGGCAUUGGCAAUUCAAGACUGCCUUUCCUACCCUUUUCAGUGCCUCUUUCAGUGAUACGAAGCUAAAACCAGAUACUGCUUUCAUAGUACUUUUCUGACCACGGUUUUCUGGAGUUUUUUCGUAUGGAGUUUGUAAGCUUCCUGACAUGGAUUAUAACUGUACUUGAUGGAGCACAGUUAUAAUAGCUGCUUUAGAGUCCUUGAUAAUUCCCACAUCUGAGUCAUCUCAAGAUUUUGAUGGAUGUACAUUGAUGGAUAGCCACGUGGAUCCAGAAAAUAAAGACUUCUACUCUGCAUUUGACUAAAGCAGAAGAUAUGCAAGGAAGCUCAGUCUCUCAAUUGAGUGGAUUCUGAAAUUUAUCCUGUUGUCUUCAGCUACUAAGGCUAAUUUGCAAAUCACACUGUGCACGGGGUGAAAUAGGAGCACUUAGGAAGCACUGCAAUGAAUUUACUGCUUAUUCAGCAUAUUGAUAGAGUCUUCUCUAAAACAACAAAAAGUGUUGACAGCAAACUGAAGAUCUUAAAG